AAUUUUUGUUAAAUAAAUAAAUGCAGCAUCACAACCAGAACUAUCAUAGGCAUUGGAGAGGCAGGAGGGUAAUUCUAUCAACCUCCUUUCUAUCAGAAUCAAACCAGCUAUCUUUCAGAAGAACCAUGUGUCAUUUCUGACCCCUCUAGCCCAAUGUUAUGUACUCUCCUGCAGUGGUGAGGCAUGGUUUGCCGGUGCCCAGGGCAGGGCAAGUGUUGCGCCCCCUCCCCAGUGGACUGGGCAGCUGGAGUGGAGGCAUGCUUGCAGUCUGCUGAAAUAGCAGGACUCCACAAAAUCCUACUGCCUCUCUUCUGGUAGGUCUCAAGUACAGGAUUACACCUUCAGUGAUGCAGCCAGUAAUUACGUUUAGCAUAAUUACGUUUAGCAUUAUGUGCAGUGUUCAGAGUAUGAGUGCUUCACAGGCUGGGCAUAUGAAAAAUAAAUUCAAAACGCAUCUAAAUGUUUCUUUUUCUCGAUUCGGAUCAAAUAUGGUACGAGGAAACUUCCUCAAAAUGCAGUAUUUCAUAAGAAAGGGCAUGAUAGAAACAGAUAUAUAUGGAUUGCAGCUGGUGUGUACACUGCUUCCCAGACCUGUGGUGGGGGUGCACUGCAUGCAGAGUCAAUGGGAACAUGUACACAGGCACGUAAUUAUCUUGAAAUCUUUACAACAACCCUUUAAGUUAGGUCACUCUUUAUUAUCUCCAUGUUGCAGAAGGGAGGAAGGGCUGUAGUGGAGAUUGCAGUUUGCCUAGGGCUACGUAAUGAGUUCAUGACAGAAGUAAAUGUUGAACCCCAAGGUCUUCUUGAGUAGAAGCUCCAGCAGCUAAAUUCCAUAAAUUUGGCAUUAAUUUGUAUUGCUUACCAUCCAUUUCUGCCUGCAUUUCAAGACUUUCUUUGCUAUUACAAACACUAGAAACUUAGGCUUUUAAAAAAAAAAUCAAACUUGAGAUUCACAGAAAAAUGCAAAUAACCUCAUGGGUAGCCUACCAGUUGCUAUUCAAUUGUUUUCACAAGGAAACAAGCAAACCCUCAGAUAUCCAUUUGGUUGAUUUGUCUGGUGAUUUUUCUUUCUUUUAUCCCAGAUCUUAGGAGUGAAGAAUGUACUUGAUGUGCAUCUUCUGUCCCCCCUGGAAAUAAUUCUACGAUUUAAACUUUCAACUCUGUAUCCCAAACAAAAGGGUUCAGAUAGUGCCCAUCAAAAAAUAAAGGGUUGUAAAAGCCAAACUAUGUGAACCAGGGGGUGGUGGGACUUCUCUAUUACAUGCCUUGUUACUUGAAAAAAAAUAAAAUCAUGCCAAAUUGCAUACAGA